rnacentral:lncRNA from 1 species
AUGAAAUGAGUUAAGCUAAAAGAUUUAAAGAAAAAAGGAAACAUGUCCUAUGGGUUACAACUUGAAAAUGAUCGAAAAAGUAUUCAAAUGGAUAAAUUUCUUUAAAAUGGUUUACUAAGAAAAGUUAAGAUUAUAAUUGUAAUAAUAUAGUGGUGUACAUUUAUGGUCAUGUUUAAUAUUUUCUAUCUAUAGAGUUAAAAAAUAGAGAAAGGGUGUGAAAUGGCCCAAUGUAACCCAUCUCGACUCUCAACAAAAAACCUCGUUUUGAUCCGGACCCAAUUUGGCAAGUUUCCCAACCUGCCCAUUUUGCCAACCUUGAUAACAAAGCUAAAGGUGUAGUGCAAAACCAAUCUAUUUUGAGUAGAACUUAACUUUGCAAGUUAUCCAAAAUUCACCCUCAGUGAUAGUUGCACAUAUGCGUAUAUCUCUUGAAUUUGACAUCAUUAAUCAUUAUAUAACAUAUAAUAUAACAUCAAAGCUGGCGUGAAUGGAACCGCAACUGCCUUGUAGACACCUUUACGGUUCAAUACAAAGCUAAAUGGGGUCUUGACCAAUCGGAAACUGAAAACCAAGCCUUUGCUCCAUGUACGUGAUUUAAUGGCGUAUGCUUUGUUUUGGACUACACUUCUAGGCUGUAGCAUAUAUCAAUACAAAUAUAUCAAACUGAAGUUUUAAAUCAUAGGGAACUUCACAUUUGAUAAUUCACCUUUCGGUUUUGAUUAAACUAGAUGAUGCUUGAAAGUGUAGGUGUGGGGGUGAUGUAAAAUGAGGAAGGUUUAAUGAGGAUACACUAUGCCUCAAUAGAUGCGGCCCAAUCAGACAUUUGCGUACUGUUCAUUAGGUUUGUUUUUUAAGUAUAGGAUAAUAUAUAAGUGAUGCUCUUUUGUGAACCGAAAAUGAAAAGAGGGUAUGUUUCGUUAUCUUUUAUCGGAACCCACAAACCCGUUUUGCUAAACGGUACGGGUC